rnacentral:rRNA from 1 species
GAUGAACGCUGGCGGCGUGCCUAAUACAUGCAAGUCGAGCGAACGGACGAGAAGCUUGCUUCUCUGAUGUUAGCGGCGGACGGGUGAGUAACACGUGGAUAACCUACCUAUAAGACUGGGAUAACUUCGGGAAACCGGAGCUAAUACCGGAUGAUAUUUUGAACCGCAUGGUUCAAAAGUGAAAGACGGUCUUGCUGUCACUUAUAGAUGGAUCCGCGCUGCAUUAGCUAGUUGGUAAGGUAACGGCUUACCAAGGCAACGAUGCAUAGCCGACCUGAGAGGGUGAUCGGCCACACUGGAACCGAGACACGGUCCAGACUCCUACGGGAGGCAGCAGUAGGGAAUCUUCCGCAAUGGGCGAAAGCCUGACGGAGCAACGCCGCGUGAGUGAUGAAGGUCUUCGGAUCGUAAAACUCUGUUAUUAGGGAAGAACAUAUGUGUAAGUAACUGUGCACAUCUUGACGGUACCUAAUCAGAAAGCCACGGCUAACUACGUGCCAGCAGCCGCGGUAAUACGUAGGUGGCAAGCGUUAUCCGGAAUUAUUGGGCGUAAAGCGCGCGUAGCGGUUUUUUAAGUCUGAUGUGAAAGCCCACGGCUCAACCGUGGAGGGUCAUUGGAAACUGGAAAACUUGAGUGCAGAAGAGGAAAGUGGAAUUCCAUGUGUAGCGGUGAAAUGCGCAGAGAUAUGGAGGAACACCAGUGGCGAAGGCGACUUUCUGGUCUGUAACUGACGCUGAUGUGCGAAAGCGUGGGGAUCAAACAGGAUUAGAUACCCUGGUAGUCCACGCCGUAAACGAUGAGUGCUAAGUGUUAGGGGGUUUCCGCCCCUUAGUGCUGCAGCUAACGCAUUAAGCACUCCGCCUGGGGAGUACGACCGCAAGGUUGAAACUCAAAGGAAUUGACGGGGACCCGCACAAGCGGUGGAGCAUGUGGUUUAAUUCGAAGCAACGCGAAGAACCUUACCAAAUCUUGACAUCCUUUGACAACUCUAGAGAUAGAGCCUUCCCCUUCGGGGGACAAAGUGACAGGUGGUGCAUGGUUGUCGUCAGCUCGUGUCGUGAGAUGUUGGGUUAAGUCCCGCAACGAGCGCAACCCUUAAGCUUAGUUGCCAUCAUUAAGUUGGGCACUCUAAGUUGACUGCCGGUGACAAACCGGAGGAAGGUGGGGAUGACGUCAAAUCAUCAUGCCCCUUAUGAUUUGGGCUACACACGUGCUACAAUGGACAAUACAAAGGGCAGCGAAACCGCGAGGUCAAGCAAAUCCCAUAAAGUUGUUCUCAGUUCGGAUUGUAGUCUGCAACUCGACUACAUGAAGCUGGAAUCGCUAGUAAUCGUAGAUCAGCGUGCUCCUUUAAAGGGGUUCCCGGGUCU